UCUCUAUAGUGUAAAAAUUGAACUCAAAUUUGUAUGGAGUAGGAACGUUUUCCUACGUUUGCCGCUAGGGGCGCUGUUCCAACUGCAUAUAAAUUUGAGUUAACUUUUACGCUAUCGA
rnacentral:pre_miRNA from 9 species